rnacentral:rRNA from 1 species
CAAGACCUUACGCUUUUGGAGCGGCCGAUGUCUGAUUAGCUAGUUGGUGAGGUAAAGGCUUACCAAGGCUUCGAUCAGUAGCUGGUCUGAGAGGACGACCAGCCACACUGGGACUGAGACACGGCCCAGACUCCUACGGGAGGCAGCAGUGGGGAAUUUUGGACAAUGGGGGCAACCCUGAUCCAGCCAUGCCGCGUGAGUGAAGAAGGCCUUCGGGUUGUAAAGCUCUUUCAGCCGGAACGAAACGGUCACGGUUAAUAACCGUGAUCACUGACGGUACCGGAAGAAGAAGCACCGGCUAACUACGUGCCAGCAGCCGCGGUAAUACGUAGGGUGCGAGCGUUAAUCGGAAUUACUGGGCGUAAAGCGUGCGCAGGCGGUUUUGUAAGUCAGAUGUGAAAUCCCCGGGCUUAACCUGGGAACUG